UACAGAGGGAGCCAAGCGUUGUCCGGAUUGACUGGGCGUAAAGCGCACGCAGGCGGUCGCGCGCGUGGGGUGUGAAAUCUGGCCGCUUAACGGCCAGGCGCCAUCCCAUACGGCACGACUGGAGUGAUGCAGAGGUCGGUGGAAUUGCCGGUGUAGUGGUGAAAUGCGCAGAUAUCAGGAGGAACACCAAUGGCGAAGGCAGCUCGCUGGGACGUGACUGACGCUGAGACGCGAAAGCGUGGGGAGCAAACAGG
rnacentral:rRNA from 1 species